GACGAACGCUGGCGGCGUGCUUAACACAUGCAAGUCGAACGAAGUGGCGAACGGGUUAGUAACGCGUAAUCAACCUGCCCUUCAGAGGGGGACAACAGUUGGAAAAGACUGCUAAUACCGCAUACUGAAGGAGGGGAGUGCGUCUGAUUGGCGAGUUGGAGGGGUAAAGGCCCACCAAGGCGAUGAUAAGUAGCCGGUUUGAGAGGGUGAACGGCCAAAAUGGGACUGAGACACGGCCCAGACUCCUACGGGAGGCAGCAGUGGGGAAUCUUCCGCAAUGGACGAAAGUCUGACGGAGCAAAGCCGCGUGAGUGAUGACGGCCUUCGGGUUGUAAAGCUCUGUUAAUCGGGACGCGGUACCGGAAUAGAAAGCCACGGCUAACUACGUGCCAGCAGCCGCGGUAAUUC
rnacentral:rRNA from 1 species